AACGUUGUUAGUAAAAUAGAAAGUUAUUAAAAAUUAAUAAAUUAAUGGGUAUACCUACUGAGCUAAGUUUGGUUACCAGAUCCUCAAUGGUAGCAAAGUUUUGUUGCGGACUGGUUGUCUUCCCUGGGGCCGUGCCGGCUGGCUCAUCGGUACUCAGGUGGAGUUCCAUCCCUGGCCCGCAGUCCGCACAAUCGAUAAGUCCACCGAUAUUAACAGCUGUUUUUUUAAACAGAAAAACACACCACUAACAGAAAAACAAAACAGCUGCCGCGCAAUUAAAAAUUGCGCUAAACAAAAAGGAAAUCCAAAACAAACUGUUGACGACAGGCCACAGCUGGACCCCGGCGUACCCACCCUGCCUGAGAUGGCCACAUCGGCGCCAUCUCCCUUGCGUUGGCCACUAUAUCAGUGGCCGCUCCUCAUCCGGCGUAGCGCUGUCGAAUCCCCCUCCCCACCAUGCUGAGAAGACUCACACGACCAUGUUCAUCGUAUAAUAUUAAUAGAUAUUCGAAUUUCAUUACAGCUACACGGAACAGUAUUCGAAGCAAAAGCAAAUAAAACAAACAAGGCGGAACAACAAAGAAAAUAACGGAGUAGGGACAAUUAUAUAUGUAUGGUUCACUCACAACUUCUUUGGCCGAGGGAGAAAUCUAUAACGUAUUUUUUACGUAUUGCACCUCGUUCAAUGUGUCACUCCUCGCGGUAUAGUCUCGCUCAAUAGAUAAGAGAAUCGAAGCGCAGGCGUUUUUACUUUAUUUUAAUACUUUCAUGCUCGUUGUUGCCAUUAAUGGUUGUUUGUCUUUGCUCACACUGUUGUUGGUUUACGAUCUUGUAACGGAAUAUUGCAGCAAUCUCUUUUUAUACACUAAACAAAUCUUUAUUUUGUGUAACUUCGUAUUUAACAUUUAUUCUACGAUACAGCAAACACGUGGAGUCGAGUCUUCUCUUCUUUCUUGUCGACCGUCUCCAACCUUCAUCUAAAUUCAACUCUCGACCCAGAAAAAUCCACGUUCUAACCUCUCGUGAAAAAAAGUUGACUUUGAACAGGAGGAGCAAUUUUCAAAUUUCCCCCCCCUGGUGUUGCCAUUUCCUAUCUCCGAUACAUCGCCUCGCGAUAUAUCGAUAAACCCCCCCACAACAUUGCUGGCACAAACGAUAUCCAAAACGUAACAGUUUAACGCUGGAAUAGCAGUCAAAGACAUUGCCAAUGAGUUUAAAGUGUCGCGCCAAACUGUGUACUACCAAAUUAAAAAGUUUAAAAAGCAUAAUGACAUGCGUAAUUUAAGAAGAUCAGGUGCUAAGCGCAAAACAGAUCUCAGUGAAGACUGAGCCCUUGUACGGGAAUUUAACAAAAUGUUUUUCUAAAGCCCCAAUCCGCAGCAGAUCAAUUUAAUUUGACAGCUAAAACACCAAUUAGUGAGCGCACAGUCCGUCCACGAUUAAAAUAAUGUGAUUUUAAGACUUAUAAAGUCAAGGAAGUACCAUAUAUAACAAAAGCAAACAAGCUUAUAAGACUGACUUUUGCAAAGGAAAGCAGUUCUGGAGGAGCGUUCUAUGGACAGAUGAAAGCUUCUUUGAGUAUAAAUCAUCAAAAAAUAAAUUUUUUGUAAGAUUAUAAAGGCAGAAAAGCCGGUCUGUUUGCCAAAAAGUAAGCCAUGGUGGAGGCUGUGUGUUGUUCUAAGGAUGUGUAGCGUAUAAUGGACUGGGUGUCUUCGUUCCUGUCACUGGCCUGAUGAACCAAGGCCAAUAUUUACAGGAUCUAAAUGAUAAUGCAUUUACUUCUGGACAGGCUUAUUGGUCAAUCCUUCAUUCUGCAACAGGAUAACGCCCCAUGGCACAAAGCCAAGAUGAUUACAACAUUUUUGAAGGAUGUUAGUGUUACCACUUUGGACUGGCCACCUCAAAGUCCAGAUUUAAAUAUAAUUGAAAGCGUCUGGUCUCUUAUGAAACGUAAAAGAACAGUAUCGUUGAAUAAGAGACAGAUUUCUGAUAGUUUGUAAUGAGCAUUUUGUAUCAUAAAGUGCCCAAAAAGAUCCCGAAAAUUUAUUACUCUGUUAUUACUUACCUUAACUACGACUAUGCUCAGAAUUUUAUGAGUCGAUGUUUAGAAUGCACUGAUUGCGCUCCGAAAUCGAUCUCAGCUCUUUUCGGACACUUAAUUUAGAGCCCUCCUAACUUUGCUUGCUGGCUACUUGCUUUGAGUGACAGCCAUUAGCUGAUCCCAUGUAAUUUGUUUACGGAGAGCUUUACGCACUGGAAGAUAUUUAUUUAAUGUUUGCUAUAUGCUGUGGGCUACUCCAUCAUUCUAUCUCCAAUGAUUUAAAUUAGUCCGUUUUAAAUUAUCAUGUUGCUUAAUUCUUAAUUUGUUAGUAUUUAUAGAACCAAAAAUAAUUAUUUAUAUUAUAUUUAUGCAAGAUCAUAGCUGAUAUUUAUAGGUUACUUUUUUUUAUUGUUGAUUUAUCAUUUGGCCUUAUUUGAUACUUAUCAUGUUAGUCCUUCAAAAUAUUUAUUUAUUUAUUUUUGUGAGUUAUUUCUGUAGUAAAUUAAAUAUGUUCACUUAAUUUUCUAUUUUAUUUGGAAACAUGCAUCACUGAGCAAGAGUACGUUAGCCGACCCACUUUCCUUUAGCGAUCCUACUAGCAUUUAUUUUUGGGAUUUCGAAUGCAGGAUCACGGUAGGGUGGACGGCUGCACACAACAACACCAGUGUUGCACUAGACAGUGGCUCCAUCUUCUUUGUUAACCUACCUUUCUCUCCUUCCCCUCCCCUUCUCUUUCACCGUUUUUGAAUGUACCCUCCACCUUCCACUCCUCUUACUCUGUCUACCCAUUUGUAUGCGAUUUCUUAAUGUUUUAUUGUUUUAUAGUGGUGCGCAAUAUCAGUUGGCCCUUUUCAUUAACCCCAUCCGGAGUCCAAAGUUACAUUAUGCUCGCCUAUAUUGGUAUUGCCUAUAUUUUGGCAACCAACUAGCGCACGUCAAUUUUGUUUUGCCGCGACGAAAGUGUCGAAGAUGAAAACGACAACAAAUGCUCGUGUCUUAGAUGUUUGCAGUUUGAAUGCGUAAAAAUGUCACAUUCGAUAUCGGAGAAUUGCCCAAUUGUAUUAUUACCUGAUUACAAAAAAAUGUAUUUAUUUCUUAAAAGUUCAAACUUUUUUUAAAUAAAGUUUUAAAUAGUGUUUGCAAAAAGGGAAUAAAAAAAUAUGAAUUGCAUAAAAAAACAAACAAAAUAUGCAUAUAUUCUCGAUCGGGAUUAGAACUCGCAUACCACAAUAUGUUGGGCUUGCAAACUAUCAACAGACCAAUGAGUCCUUGUGCGGGAAACAUCUAAGACAGGGGCAAUUAUUGUUAUCUUCUUCUUCGUCGUGGCAAAACAAAAUAAUGUGCGCUAGCUGCUUGUCUGCGUGGCAACCGCACGUUGCAAAACUUCACAUGCAUACACAUACCAAUAUAGGCAAGCAUGUAGAUACGUAGACGAAAACAUACAAACACAGCACAGCGCAACAAAACGUGUGAAGUGUGUGAUGUACGCUACGCGAUGCGUUAAAACUUCGAAUUUAAAAAAUGAGCCGAACAGGCUCUGGGUACAAAGAUCGCCUUGGCGGAUUUUUCUAAAUAUCAUCUACUGUUUUUGUCAAUUUCUUUUUAUUUUCUGGAUAUACAUAUUUUUUAAGGAAUCGCAAAUCAAUUAAAAAAUAUUUUAAAAAGGCACCAGCCACCAUAAACUACAAGAUUUAUUCUUCGGAUAAUCUUAUACUUAGAAAAAUUUGAAAAUCUGUUACACCAAACUGAAGAUCCGUCAAUAUUUUUAGAUUUCAAUAUGUCGUGUUUUUUGCCGAAUUAAUCGGUAAAUCGCAUUUCCCUGAUAAACGGGAUAAAUGACAUGCGAAAACUAUAUAUUCCGUAAAUAAAUGAAAAUAUGAAGUCAAAUUGUUUGCCUAUUUCUAUGACGACAUUAUCCCAAGGACAAAAUUAAUGACCUGCGAAAAAACCUUUUUUUUUUUGAAAGCUUCACGAAUUUUAGAGUUACCGUUUUCAACAAGCUAUUUCUCUUAACGAGAAAAUGCUACGCUUUUUUCCAAUGGUUUUAGAUUUAUCAUAUUUUUGCAAGUGACCGCUUUGCCGAUAGCAGUACGAUAAAAGAGGUUGUCAAUUUUUUCGUCUGUAAAACAGUCGAUUUGACAUCGAUACCCUUAAUUUAUUUUGUACUGGGAAGGGCGAAAAAAAAGUGAUGUUGCUUUUAGAUUUAUUUGUCUACGAUCUCUUAAAGUUGGUGGUCGGAUGAAUUUCGGUUAGUUUUGAUUUACGUAAAUGUUUCAUUACCUAGUUUGUGUGCAUCAAUCAUCAUCGCGAAAAACUUUGAAAGAUUUUUUCAUUUAUAUUGAAAAUUUAAUUCAUUUACUUCUGAUUUUCUGGGAAUUUAGAAUCGGACAUCAAAUAUAUAUUUUUCAAUCAGUUUCGCUUUACUAUAUAUUAUUUUAGUGUCACCGUCUUUAUUAACAUUUGUGUUUCCAAAUUUGGCUUUGUGACCGUCACGCUACAUUGCAUUUUGUUCAAUGGAGUUGCGCAGAAAUAAAGCGACUUCAUUUAUCUGGGACCAGCGCUUUAUUUCUUAAAUAUCAAAUAUGUAUCCUGGAAAUGUACGUAUAAACAAAUGCCUGUUAUAAGAAUGUACCAAGUAUGUUAUUUUUUUACGCAAUUUCGCGGAAAAAUUGCGUUUAGUUAAGCUCGCUAUAAAAUAUUUCAUUCAUUUCAUAUUGUUACGAUUUAUUGCUAGAAUAUGAUCUAUAUUCUAGACUUAUGGUUAAAAUCCAACCUCAAAUAUGAAAAUCCGGCAAGCGAUCUCAAUCAACUUUCACAUUAUUAUUUACGUUGUUUUAUUAUACAAUUUUGUAUUCUUAAAUUAUACAUGUUGAUAAAUUAAUAUUAAUAGACUGAGCCCGUAAUUUAAGAGUGCACCUGAUAAAACGCUGUGAUUUGAUUAACAGAAAUAAUUUAAGUCUUAAGUUUAGCUAAAUUAAUAUUAUUUAAUCUUUUCAAAAGUAUUGAAUAGACUGAGGGCAUGAUUGGGCGGAGAUUUACAUAUUUGUAUUUGACUACUUCCAUGCUUAUGACAAAGAAACGGAGUUAGAGAUAUGUAAAUUCGUUUUUUUUCAUGUUUUGUGAGUUGGGUGCUAAAUUGUUCUACCGAUAUGAAAUGCCUUUACAUAUGAUAUUAAGACUAUUUAUGUAAUCUUUAAUUGAUGGAAAAAAGUUAUAUAGUGCUUUUGCUUUGCAAGAAACAAUCUUAAACCCAAGGUGAAUAAAAGCAAGAUGCAAAAAACUGUUGUUUUCCGGAAACGUGUGAGUUAUUAUGAUUGCUAUCCGAUGGUGCUACACUGUUAGCUGCAGCAGCCGCUGCUGCAUAGUUGUAGCUCAUGUGUGCAUAUGACGGUAUUGCAUGUGAUGUACUAUCGUUAGCAAAACUUUGACCAUGGCUCAUUUGUAUGGGACUACAAUUCGAUUGGCGAUGAUGCUCCAUUUGGGGGUGGUGGGCGGCAGAGAUGCUAAGGGAAUUUGGUGCCGUUGGUGGUGCUAUUGGCAGUGGAGGCGGUGGCAAUCCGUAAGUCAAAUUUGCUUCGUAAUCAGCUACAUCAUUAUUAACACUUUUUGUCCCAUUCGAGCCGUGUGGAUUUGAUGCUAUAUUUGGACUGCUGCUGACAUUUGCAACUUCAUUUGAAGAUGUUCCCAGACCUGCACCGACACCCACAAGAUUAUGAUGAGAUGCUAAGGGCGGAGGACGUAGUGGCAUAUGGCACGGAUACAUGGAUACGGAUGGUGGUGUCAGGUCUCUCUGUUGCAAAAUCGGUGAUGGUGGUGCUAAGGAUCCCAUUGAUGAAUGACUGAAUUAUCAUUCUGGCAUGAUCAUCUUCCGUAGUUCCAGUAUUGGAUGUGUCACCGUUUGAAUUAUCUCCUUCCCCGGAGACUGUUUCGUCUGAAUGUUGGCCAUCGAGCUCUGUAAAUAGGGAAAUUGAAAAUAAAAAUACAUAAAAUGUCUAAUGUUUUCAAGCUAAGCGACUGAAAGUCUAAGAUAGUAAGAUAGCAAACUAUUUAUUCGCAUGCACAUCAAAAAUGCCGCAGGCCACAACAUUUGGAUCUCAGCUUGUCACUUUUCAUUCAUGUAUUUAAAUGUGUCUGUGUGUGUGUAACUGGCAGUUCUUGCAGGGCCCAACGAAGUCCAGUUCAGGGAACAUGUCACUUGCCAAAUAAACUGCAAUGUGACAGCCAACAACAACAACGACAUGAAGUAAAAGAUAGCGUCGAUGAUAUAAGGGAGUAUGGAAGAUUAAACAAGAGAGCAUGAGAAUAAAAGACAACUGAAGCUAGAGAGCGACAUUCGUCCAUGGUGGAAUAUAUUAGAAAUACAAACUGAUAAGGCGAUAAUUGUGCACAACCCUUGCGACUAUGGUUACAUCCCCCCAAUGGUUUGGCGUUUAAUGAAGUGUCAUCGCCUGUAAAAUGAGUCUGUAAAUCGUAUUAAACCAACUACACGGUUUAGGGAAGACCUUGUCAAGUACGACAGCAAACUCCCGUUACCGUGUUGCCGAAGGCUACAGAUUGCGGAUUAUACAGAUACAGUAGCUGCCUUGCACACAAACACGCGGUUGAAAUUUACCCACAGAGAUUUGGUUCACCAGAAUCUUUGUGUUGAUGAGGUUAAACUAAUUAUAAGAGCCUGAGUAAAUAUACAUACAACAAUCUCGUUUCGUUUUUUGUACAUAUUGACGCUUAUAUAAGAAGUUAUAUAUCUAAUCUUGUAUUGAAGUCAUUAAGCAAAUUUUAUAGUUGGCGAUUUCAUGUAAUUGUAAUUCUAAUUCAGUUAUAACUAACUCAUAUGUAUGUAGGUAUAUAUCUAAAUAUUUUGUACAAUUUUGUG